rnacentral:lncRNA from 1 species
CACUUCCGGAAGCCCACCGUUAAUUGUUCCAACAGCAGAGGCGAACUCAGUUUGCUGCUAGAGCGCCUGCUCAGAGUUCCUGCACUGAGCGCUUUCGUUUCUUGGUUUUGUGUGUGUGUGUGAGCUAUGGCUCGUUCCUCAAGGGCUCUCUUGGAACCUAGUGUGGGAACCCACGGGUGCCGGGCACCCUCGGUGGUAUCAGAGAGGCACUGAGAUUAUGGUUCCCUGACACCUAUUCGUAAAGAGUUCGAGCCUGCGUUUGAGAAGGUUAUUUACUUACAUACCUCAAGACUACGCUAUGGAAAUAAAAUUUAAAGAUGAUGGAUGAGGACAUCGGCAGCUUCUGGACAAGCAUGCAUGGGAUCCUGGGUUCAAUACCCCGUGGCAGCAAAAAUGAAAUAAUUGAAUCGGGCAUGGUAACACAUGUUUGUAACCUCAGCAGAUCUUCUUAGGGUUAUUAUUGCAGCUAUGACAACUGUUGUUAAAACAAGACAAAGAGGCUCAAACCCAAGCUCCUUGAAUGACAAAAACGAAAGAAUCAACCCCCACGACUGUUUGACUCAUGAAAUGAACAAGUCCUAAAGAUCUGUGGAUCCAACAGUUUUUGGUCGUGGCUACUAAGUCAUUGGGAAGAACCUUACCAGUGACACAUACUUAAGGUUGUUAAAGUUUCUAUU